rnacentral:rRNA from 1 species
UAGCUAGUUGGUGAGGUAAAGGCUUACCAAGGCGACGAUCUGUAGCGGGUCUGAGAGGAUGAUCCGCCACACUGGAACUGAGACACGGUCCAGACUCCUACGGGAGGCAGCAGUGGGGAAUUUUGGACAAUGGGGGCAACCCUGAUCCAGCCAUGCCGCGUGAGUGAAGAAGGCCUUCGGGUUGUAAAGCUCUUUCGGCCGGGAAGAAAUCGCAUGGGUCAAUACCCUGUGUGGAUGACGGUACCGGAAUAAGAAGCACCGGCUAACUACGUGCCAGCAGCCGCGGUAAUACGUAGGGUGCGAGCGUUAAUCGGAAUUACUGGGCGUAAAGCGUGCGCAGGCGGUUUUGUAAGACAGGCGUGAAAUCCCCGGGCUUAACCUGGGAACUGCGUUUGUGACUGCAAGGCUAGAGUACGGCAGAGGGGGGUGGAAUUCCACGUGUAGCAGUGAAAUGCGUAGAGAUGUGGAGGAACACCAAUGGCGAAGGCAGCCCCCUGGGUCGAUACUGACGCUCAUGCACGAAAGCGUGGGUAGCAAACAGGAUUAGAUACCCUGGUAGUCCACGCCCUAAACUAUGUCAACUAGGUGUUGGGUGGGUAAAACCAUUUAGUACCGUAGCUAACGCGUGAAGUUGACCGCCUGGGGAGUACGGCCGCAAGGUUAAAACUCAAAGGAAUUGACGGGGACCCGCACAAGCGGUGGAUGAUGUGGGUUAAUUCGAUGCAACGCGAAAAACCUUACCUACCCUUGACAUGCCAGGAACUUGCCAGAGAUGGCUUGGUGCCCGAAAGGGAGCCUGGACACAGGUGCUGCAUGGCUGUCGUCAGCUCGUGUCGUGAGAUGUUGGGUUAAGUCCCGCAACGAGCGCAACCCUUGUCGUUAAUUGCCAUCAUUUGGUUGGGCACUUUAACGAGACUGCCGGUGACAAACCGGAGGAAGGUGGGGAUGACGUCAAGUCCUCAUGGCCCUUAUGGGUAGGGCUUCACACGUCAUACAAUGGUCGGUACAAAGGGUUGCCAAGCCGCGAGGCGGAGCCAAUCCCAGAAAGCCGAUCGUAGUCCGGAUUGCAGGCUGCAACUCGCCUGCAUGAAGUCGGAAUCGCUAGUAAUCGUGGAUCAGCAUGUCACGGUGAAUACGUUCCCGGGUCUUGUACACACCGCCCGUCACACCAUGGGAGCGGGUUCCGCCAGAAGUAGGUAGCCUAACCGCAAGGGGGGCGCUUACCACGGCGGGGUUCGUGACUGGGGUGAAGUCGAAACAAGGUAGCCGUAGGGGAACCUGCGGCUG